rnacentral:misc_RNA from 1 species
GAUGAAGAACGCAGCGAAAUGCGAUAAGUAAUGUGAAUUGCAGAAUUCAGUGAAUCAUCGAAUCUUUGAACGCACAUUGCGCCCGCCAGUAUUCUGGCGGGCAUGCCUGUUCGAGCGUCAUUACAACCCUCAGGCCCCCGGGCCUGGCGUUGGGGAUCGGCGGAAGCCCCCUGCGGGCACAACGCCGUCCCCCAAAUACAGUGGCGGUCCCGCCGCAGCUUCCAUUGCGUAGUAGCUAACACCUCGCAACUGGAGAGCGGCGCGGCCACGCCGUAAAACACUCAACUUCUGAAUGUUGACCUCGAAUCAGGUAGGAAUACCCGCUGAACUUAAGCAUAUCAAUAAGCGGAGGA